ACAUGAAAACGAAAACAAGUGGAGCUGCUGGGUGCUUAUCAUCCAGCAAGCAAGGCAUCAAAUUCUUCAGCUUUCCAAGGAAUCCAGCACGGGCUGCAGUAUGGGCUGGAAAAGUUGGAAUACCCUGCAAUAUUCAUUCUGCUAGAAGGCUGCACAAUAAAUAUUUGUGCAGCAAACAUUUCCUGGACAGUGAUUUCACUACAGCCUAAAGGGUCCACCUGAACAGAGUGGCAGUUCCAGCAGAAAGCCUCAACGCUCUAGUGACUGCAGAUACCUAUCCCACUUGUAAAGGUAGACAUGAGAUCUGAUGGUGAAGUUGCAGGAUAUGCUAAUGCAUAUUUAAUAUUAUUAGCAUCUCCGUGACCUAAAUCUAUGCAGUCUGGUUAACUGUUACCAAUGCUAUGGAAGCAGGAUGUUCCCUCAACGGGUGAAUCAGCCGCCCUCGAAACAUUAUGCAAAGAAUCUCACAAACUGCACAAUAGCUCAUUAGACAGUAAGCUGCAUAGUUUCUGUUGUGAGAACCGAAAAAUCCACAUCAGUAUGUGUUUGUAAACACAUGUGUUUGUAUGUUUCCUUGCAGACUUGGGCAACUGGUCCCAGUUAGAUAGUGGUACAUUUGUUAAAAGUAGGGUGCUAUAACACUAGGAUUCUUGAAAGUGAAUUUAUUUACAACCCAACCAUCAUACAUGAUAAAAGUAGUUUCAUGGUUAUGAAACAUUCUGCAUUCUUUUACAACAGGAAUACCAAGAAUGUGGUACAAAGAGCUGAAGAAAUACUUCCUGCUGGGAGAGAAAGCAUGGUGAGUGUUUUGUACUUGUGUGCACAGGAAAGAGUUUUAUUUGUCAUCUGUCAAUUCUCAUUACCUAAGAAACUAAACGUUUUGUGUAAAGCUUAUGUUAGGUUUCAUAAUCCAUCUUGGUGGUUUUUAUAAAUGGUUUGUCACAUUGUAAGGGCAAGGGCACACCUAGGAAACUGACAACAAAAAUUUCCGAUAACUCUUAUCAGCCUGAGUUGAAUACAUGUUACUGAAUGGAGCAGUGCAAAUUGAGGAAACGGAAAUGGAGCUCACAGAAAGACUGAGAAACUCAAAUUCCAGGCAAUGUAGCAUACCAGUCUUAUAACAGUUGCGUUGCCUUUUAGUUCCCUAGUGUGAACUGUUCUGAACUGUGUGCCAAUGAUCCAUUUGUUUCUUAAGAUGGCACAAAAGAUUGAUGAAGCUGCUAAUUUUGUUUUUGUGCUGUUA